rnacentral:tRNA from 1 species
GUCCAGGGAUGGGAAUCGAACCCACAGUGUUCUGCUUACCGGGCAGAUGCCAUGUCCAUAGGCUACCCUGGA